rnacentral:tmRNA from 1 species
CUUGAAAAUAAAAAACAGAACGCCUAUAAUAAGGACUGCCGGGCAACCGGCUGUGACACCAGAGGCUGUAUGAAAUAGGUAUUUAGGACCCGGGGGCAGUACCCGGCACCUCCACCAAUUUUUUACAAAACCCCGAACUUUUUCCAUAGAAUGGCUUUUAUGCAAAAAUUCGGAGUUUGAGGCUUAUAAUAAGAUUUUAGGGCGGCGACACCGGAGUUUACAUAGUAGUAAAUGAGGAUGGCGCCGACCCGCUAAAUCUGUAUUAGAAGUCCAAAAUACGAACUUUAGGGGGUGAGUCAGGUUUGACUAAAUAUAAUAAAGAUACUUUGCCGUGUCCGGUGAGAUACCACCGUUAUCGGUUCAAAAUAAAUAAAUGCUAACGAUAAUAACGUAGCACCUGUUGCUGUAGCUGCUUAAGCGAAGCGACAAACGCAAAAUCCUUUUAACUAUGGUUAGUUGAAAGUGGGGCUUGGGCCGCCUAGCAACAGAAGGCCC